GGCUGCUACUCGUUUCCUGUACUCAUAGGAAGAGCAUUUAAGUUUGAUGGAAAAACAAGGUUUUCACCCUAUGAAUAGAGACAGAUUAAGACCAAGGCACAAGAAUCUGACCAUAAGUGCGCCAGGGUUCCCUAGUGUCAAAAAAGUCGCACUCACACAGAAGGUGGAUGGAUGCAGCAGUGGCAAGUACAACAUUGCUAACAUGCAAGAGCAACUGCUUCUAUCUUAGCAUGACUGCAACUGUAAAAUCAGGACCUGGUACAAGAUCAGCUUCAGUUAAAUGUUUCAGGGUAAAGACCUACGGUAUUGUUGUCAAUAUUACAGGAUGAUUGGUGGAUUCUGAUUGGCUCGCUGCAGUCUGCCUUCCACCACAAGUCCAAAAGGCCAGAAAAUCUUUUUCUCAUGAAAUAUGAAUCUGAUUGAAAACAGAAAACAGACAUUAAUUUUGCAAAGUUCCCGAGGGUCCUCCAUUGGCUCCCAUUCUCUGCUAGAGCGAAAUGAAAAUGUAUCCUUCUUCUUUUCAAGGUCACCCAUGAGCAUUUUUUUCCUUAUCUUUGCUUUUCUCUACAAUAUCUACUCUCUUCAUCAUGUCUUUAUUCUUGCUUUUAUCAGCAAUGGAUUGGAUGCAUUUCAGGCUACAUGUUGCCACUCAAAAUGUUUAACAGAAAGAUAUAAGCAGUAUUAUUUGCAUAUACAGUAUAUGUAUGUAUAGGUUUGGUAAGGACCAACACUCUCUUGUAUUAGACUUAAAACAACAAAAUGCAUUUAUUUAUUGUAUUGGAUGUAAGUAUGUGUUUGCAAUAGUAGUAAGCAUAAAGAAAACUGAUCCUACAUGCUACACACUAUUGGGGCUCUAUUCAUUAUCCGCUAUAAUUUAAUCCCAGUACAGUUAUGGGAUCCAUUAUCCAAAAACCCAUAAACCAGAAAGCUCCAAAUUACAGAAAGGCCAUCUU